UAGCGAGUCUUUGACUGGAGUAGGCAGGGAGAGAGUCUUGUUUAAAGAAUGCAUAUUCGGUUUGUAAACCGUUGCCAGCCACGCUUGGAAGCACCUCAUGUGUAGGCGUGCAUUCUGGACGACAAAAGUGCAUGAGGCCAUGUGACCUAGUAGUUGCAGGCAGUCUCGGGCAGUUACCUGAGGGCUGUUGCGAAUAGUUGUGGUCAGUUGUUUUAUGGAAUUGUAGCGAUCGGGUGGGAGCGAUGCUAGCCCGGUCCGAGAGUCGAGGUCUGCGCCUAUGAACUGAAGGUGCUGGGUGGGGCGUAAUGUGGAUUUGUCUCUGUUUAUUUGUAGGCCGAGAGAAAGAGAGCACUCGACUGUGAGUCGUGUGAACCGGAGCGCCUCGUCGAAUGUUGAAGCUUUGAGGAGGCAAUCGUCGAGGUGUCUGGAGACCUAAAGACCGGAGGGUUGUUCUGGAGUCUUUCAUUGAAUGAAGCACUUCAUUCGUGUUAGCAGCAAAGAGUUUGUCACCGUCGAAGGGAAGAUCUUCAAUUGUGUUCUGAACUUCGCGAGGAAAAAAGGAAGAGGAGAGCCAUGAGCCCCGUCGCAUGACUAUCGCUGUAGCGGUAGAUCUUGCCGCUGUGUUGGCUACAUCGAGGGCUGCUUGGAGAGCGGUGCGUGAAAUGGCUUGGCCCUCAGAAACUAUAGCUCUGAACUGUUGUUUUCUUUGUUCUGGAAUGUCAUCAAUAAAGUCCAUUAACUUA